rnacentral:rRNA from 1 species
AUGAUAGCAGCAGGAAAUUCUUUGUCCUUGAAUCAAGGUAUUCAGGAAGAACAGGUUGUUCCGGCUAGAUACCGUCAAGAAUUCUUGACUAUUGCAUGGGAACAGAUUCAUGUUAGAAGUAUUUUUCCUUUCCAAUAUUUUUCUAUUGGGGGUUCUCUCAUUCCUUUUAUUGAGCACAAUGAUGCGAAUCGGGCUUUAAUGAGUUCUAAUAUGCAGCGCCAAGCAGUUCCGCUUUCUCGGUCCGAGAAAUGCAUUGUUGGAUGGAUUGGAACGCCAAACAGCUCUAGAUUCGAGGGUUUCCAUUAUAGCCGAACGCGAGGGAAAGAUCAUUUCUACUGA